rnacentral:rRNA from 1 species
UUUGUAGACCUUUCAGGUCUAUGUUGCUUCAUUUACCCCAAUGUAUGUUAAUAGAAUGUUGUGACUAUAAAAAUAUAUACAACUUUCAGCAACGGAUCUCUUGGCUCUCGCAUCGAUGAAGAACGCAGCGAAAUGCGAUAAGUAAUGUGAAUUGCAGAAUUCAGUGAAUCAUCGAAUCUUUGAACGCACCUUGCGCUCCUUGGUAUUCCGAGGAGCAUGCCUGUUUGAGUGUCAUUAAUAUAUAUAUCAAGCCUUCACUUGUUGAAUGGUUUGGAUGUGGGGGUUUGCUGGCCUCUUAAAGGGUUCAGCUCCUCUGAAAUGCAUUAGCAGAACAAUCUGUUCAUUGGUGUGAUAACUAUCUACGCUCUUGAAUAAGAUGCAGUUCAGCUUUCUAACUGUCCUUGGACAAUUUAUCAUUUAUGUGACCUCAAAUCAGGUA